GCCGCUGUGGUGAAAUUGGCAGACACGCAUCACUCAAGAUGAUGUGGGAGCAAUCCCGUGUCGGUUCAAAUCCGAUCAGCGGCA
rnacentral:tRNA from 1 species